UCGUUCCUACGGGGGGCAGCAGUGAGGAAUAUUGGUCAAUGGGCGCGAGCCUGAACCAGCCACGUCGCGUGAGGGAAGACGGUCCUAUGGAUUGUAACCCUCUUUUGUCGGGGAGCAAAAGACGCCACGCGUGGCGUUCCGAGAGUACCCGAAGAAAAAGCAUCGGCUAACUCCGUGCCCGCAGCCGCGGUAAUACGGAGGAUGCGAGCGUUAUCCGGAUUUAUUGGGUUUAAAGGGUGCGCAGGCGGAAGAUCAAGUCAGCCGUUAAAUU
rnacentral:rRNA from 1 species